GAGGCAGCGGAGAGGAAUAUUGGACAAUGGAUGGAAAUCUGAUCCAGCCAUGCCGCGUGCAGGAAGACGGUCCUAUGGAUUGUAAACUGCUUUUCUAUGAGAGCAAUAAGGUCUACGUGUAGACUGAUGAGAGUAUCAUAGGAAUAAGCACCGGCUAACUCCGUGCCAGCAGCCGCGGUAAUACGGAGGGUGCAAGCGUUAUCCGGAUUUAUUGGGUUUAAAGGGUGCGUAGGCGGAUUGUUAAGUCAGCGGUGAAAUUUUUCGGCUCAACCGGAACAUUGCCGUUGAUACUGGCUAUCUAGAAUAUGGUUGCUGUGAGUAGAAUGUGUGGUGUAGCGGUGAAAUGCAUAGAUAUCACACGGAAUACCGAUUGCGAAGGCAUCUCACAAAGCCACUAUUGACGCUGAGGCACGAAAGUGUGGGGAUCGAACAGGAUUAGAUACCCUGGUAGUCCACACUGUAAACGAUGAUAACUAGCUGUUGGCGAUACACCGUCAGUGGCCCAGCGAAAGCGAUAAGUUAUCCACCUGGGGA
rnacentral:rRNA from 1 species